GACGAGUUGUAGUCAUGGCUCAGAACGAACGCUGGCGGCAGGCUUAACACAUGCAAGUCGAACGCUCGUAGCAAUACGGGAGUGGCGGACGGGUGAGUAACGCGUGGGAACGUGCCCUGAGGUACGGAAUAACUGAGGGAAACUUCAGCUAAUACCGUAUGAGCCCCGAGAGGGGGAAAGAUUUAUCGCCUUGGGAGCGGCCCGCGUCGGAUUAGCUAGUUGGUGGGGUAACGGCCUACCAAGGCUUCGAUCCGUAGCUGGUCUGAGAGGACGAUCAGCCACACUGGGACUGAGACACGGCCCAGACUCCUACGGGAGGCAGCAGUGGGGAAUCUUGCGCAAUGGGGGCAACCCUGACGCAGCCAUGCCGCGUGAACGAUGAAGGCCUUAGGGUUGUAAAGUUCUUUUACCCGUGACGAUGAUGACGGUAACGGGGGAAUAAGCUCCGGCUAACUUCGUG
rnacentral:rRNA from 1 species